rnacentral:SRP_RNA from 1 species
GAACGGAGCCCGUGCGGCGGGAGGAGUGCGAACCGGGUCAGAUGGGGAACCAGGCAGCCCUAAACACUUCGAGCGUGCGCGGCGGGAAUUCUGUUCCUG